GUGUGUACAAGAGGGUCAGGUUCCAUCUUGAGCUGGCAGAACUGAGCACUGCUGUCCAUGCGGUACUGACUUUACAGGCACGGGAAUGAGGGAAUUGUGAAAACAUGCACUAAGGUUCACCAGGCUGCUGAGCCCAGGCACGGUUGUGGCAGCGGCAAAUUCUCUACAAGGCCUGGAGGAGCCACUGCAUAGGUGAAACCUAAAUUGCAGUAAACCCAGGACAUGGGCAAUGAUAAUCUAUGAUGUAGAAUUAUGAGCUGAAAUAAAGUAUUUCUUCCCCGUUGGUGUGUGUGAUAUUUUCUAUUGUGAGUUUGUGGUGUCUGGUCAGCUGCAGCACUGACUGUGACUAAUGAGACCAGAAUAAAUGGAACAAAACUUUUGCUCUCCUGGGACAAUGAAUGUUACUUAGCUGGGGCUGAGAGAGGAGUGGUGAUUAAGAAGAGACCAGCAUCACUGAGACGAAAUCUUCUGGGAAGGGUUUUCUCGGGGUCAACACACAGAAGCUGCGCUCCAGAGGGGACUAAGGCUGUGCCUGCUGUGGCAGCUGAGUUGUUAAUCUGUAAAUUUCACAGGUCACAGUAAUAUCGGCGAAAGUCCAGCCUUCGCAGUAAAAGCCCUAGAAUUAGAGGUCGUGUUCAGAAGCUGAGACUUGGCACCAUGUGGCAGGGUCGGAAUCUCCAGAGUCAGCCCAGGGGAGGCAAGUGAGGAGAGCCGGCCCAGUUGCGGUGGCGAUCCCAGCAUUUUGGGAAUGACCGUACUGCGGGGUCGCCAGCAAGGACAACGGCAUGCAGAGUGGAGCUGUGAGCUGUGGGUGGCAGACUCGGAAAGGAAAUAGCUGCCCAGCCAUUAGGAGCCCAGAGGGUCGAGAGUGGGUUCCGGGCACCAAGUCCUUAAGUCUUCACACCGCUGAACUUUGCCUUGGUUCCUCCCUCUUGGAGUUAGGAAGUACUUCACUUAUUUUGACUUUGCAGGAGCCCACAGUUGAUGGCUGAACUUUUGAAGAGACUCUGGAGUUUUAGGAUGACUGGGCAUUUUUAGAGAGACUGGAUAUUUUAGAGAGGCCUGAGCAUUGAAAGUGGUUGAAUUUUUAAAUAAUGCGGGGCUUUUAUCUUCACAGAUUUCAUAUUACAGAGAAACCCUGAAAACGUGAAGAAUGUAGCAAAGCUUCUUCGACCCUCAUUGGACUCGUUUUUAACUAUAUUUCUGCGUGCGUCUGAGAGAGAGAAAUAAAGGGUGUGGAGUUGACUGGCUGAGGUGGGAAGGAUCCGAGAUGAGUCAAGGGAGGAGAGCCAUGUCCACAAUAUAUUGUAUGAAAAGUUUCUUCAAUUAAAUAAAACGGGAAUACAAAUCUAUGUAUUAUAUUGUAUUAAAAUCAAAUCUCAAUUUAAAAAGAAGUGGAGCAGGAUGUAGUUAACAGUACCAAUGGAUGAAAUACUUAUGUCUGAGGACCGUUUCUCAUCUUGAAUCACCUCAUGAAAGGACGAAGCUCCCUCCCCAUCCAUGCUGCCUGUUAAGUCAUCUGUGUAUUUAAAAUAAAGCAUAGUGGCAGCUUGAUAAAAUCCUUAGUUUUUCUUAAGAAA
rnacentral:sRNA from 1 species